AAACAAAACAAAACAAAACAAAACAAAACAAAACAAAACAAGAUGUAUCUCUAAAACAUGUUUGCAGAAGGCAGAGAUCCCUCCCCUCGCAGAGGAAUACCACUGGAGGCAAAACCCCAUGGCUGGUGCCACAAGUCACACCCAGCCAGCCAGACAUACUCUGGGGAUAGCGGGCACUCUCCUCCAAAAUACUCAAACCUUCCCCAGCUACAAUUUCAUAGAAUCAUAGAAUCACUGAAGUCAGAAAAGACCACUAGUCCAAACCCCAGUCCACCCCCACCAUGCCCAUGUCCCUCAGUGCCACAUCACACGGUUCUUGAACACCUCCAGAGACAGUGACUCCACCCCUUCCCUGGGCAGUCUGUGCCAGUGCCUCACAACUCCUGAGGAGCUCCUUCUUUCCUAACACCCAACCUGAGCCUCCCCUGGCACUACUUAAAGCCCUCAAGCCUACAGCCCAGUCGCUGUGCUACCUCACGGCAGGUGCUAUUAGAGCCAUGCCGAAGCAGAAAUGCUGUCACCGGGUCAGAUCACUUUUGAAAGUUCUGUUAACAUCUGCUUCAUUUUUCAGGUCAGUGAAGACAACUCUUAGCAUUAUAUCCUUGGAGAGUUUGUAACUUCUACCCUGACUGUGUUCUUUGGAUGGAAGUGCCCUCAGAGCCCUCUGGCUAUUUUGCCACAGCCCCAAAUGUAGCCCUGCUUCUGUACUCCUGAGACCAUCAGUGCAACAGCUGCACCACAUUUGUCUUCUAAGUGCAGCUUGAGAUAAUGGCAUUGAUCUGUUGUGUUCUUUAUUCUCUCAGAAACCAAUAAUGAGCAUUCUGCUUGAGGCAGAGAUGAAUAUAGAAGCACGGUCCUCGCCUGGUCUACAUCACGUGUGAUAGAUGAAGGUUAGAGCUGGGGAAGGGAGAAAUGGAGAAGGACAACAGAGUCACGCGGGGCUCCCUCUGCAGAAAGAAAUCUAUUUUGAUUGGCAUUUUUGAAGUAUUUUAUUCACACUUAAUGAAGACCAGGAAAGAAAUGAAGAAUGAGAACAAGACGGCUAGGAAUCAAAGCAGCUACAAAUGAUUGAAAAGGUCCUGAAUUUCAAUUAAACAGGAUUCAAGAUUCUCAGAUUAUUUUUCAUGUGUAUUUACUACCAUUUACCCUGUGUUCUGUUAGCACGGGAUGCAGUAAGCACCUUCAUAAUGCUGCAGACUGGGUGGCAGUGAAUCGGUAGUUCCCCUGGGUAAGGUCCUGGGGGCAGGAAAGUUGGCAGUGCCUCCAGGUCCCAGCACGGUCUGCGUCCUAUGAGCUGCAGGGGAAGAUCUUGGCUGGGAGCAGCUGUCACUGCUCUAUCGAGCUGAUGAAUCUGUGACAUCGGUAAGGAACGAGCCCUAAAACUUUGGCUGCAAACAUUGAUCACAGAGCACUGAUGUGACCAUCCACAAAAAGAGGAUUCUAAGAUACGCCUGAUGGGGAACUGGGGCAGAGGAAGGGUUUCUGUAUCACCGCUGUUUCACCCCAGUUUUGCUCCUGCCACUCUCAGCCAUCAGCAUCAAGUUCCCCAAAUGCUCCUUUUGAAAGAAACCUCAUGGAAAACGAACAAUUCCUGCAAAAUUCUUGCUGAAGAUCUACCCACUUGGCUUAGUGAAGUUUCACCUACCCAGACUAAAAGGUUUGCUCUGAUGCUGUUAUCUGGCACCAGGAGAAGGGUGGAGGUCCACCUUUUUUGCAGAUUAAAACUGCAGUUACCUGCUGGAGAUGGGCUAUGGAGAUGGUUAUUUGGCUCAGCACUUUGCCUUUCUCUCUGUGAGCUCCGAUAAAUUGUGCAUUUUUCCUUAGCUUUUGUAGUCCUGUGUGCUGCCAUUGCCAUUCUCGGCGCUUUUCCUUUUAGCCAAGUAACUCUGCAAAGUAUGCUCUGAUGAACUGGCAGUCAGACAACAAGCAGAUUAGCAAACAGGAUCUUCUAGAGGCCUUGAAUCCUGAUGAUGUAUAAACAUAUAAAAGCCAAGGUAUAUACUCAGAGUCACACCACAUCUGCUUGGAGAGGAGAAACAAGAGAGUCGCUGGCAUGUUGGAUUUCAUAGAAUUCUAGUGGUUGCAUACUGCUGUCAUUUAGCAUCUUUUGGGUUAGACCUCUCUUAAUUUCUCCUGCAGUUUUUUGGAGUCCAGUGUGAAAAUGACCCUUGUCAGCAGAGGCCAGACCUCUGUUAAUGAGUGGCCUUGUGAUAAAUCCCUCGCUUCCAACAAAGCAAUGGGAUAUUCUUGCUAUUAAGCAUGGUAACUAGGUCAGAAAACAUUAUAAGGACUGUGGGCUGAGGAUUGCCUGAUUUCUCUGCUGAUAUUUCCUAAGCUCCCAAUGGAGAGUUUCUGCAUUUAUGUCAAAUAUAUUUUGAAAGACGGCACUACAAUCAUUGCUUCAGCAUCAUUCAGCAAGUUUCCAGCGGGCAUAUUCCAUCUCCUUAUCAGAUACAGCUACAAAAGGGAAACAGCGUAGGUAAGAUAAAAUCUCUUUUUAAAUUAAGCAAAAUAAGCUUCUCGUUGUUUGGCUUGGAUUUUGUAGGGCACUUCCAAAAUACUGAAGAUCUCUAUUUAUUUCCAACAUAUUACCUGCCAUGACUGAACAUGAAGGUAUUUAUAAGCUUACAUUGCAUUAAUCAGUGAUUACUGCAAUGGAUUGGCUCUAUAUUUGCUUUCUGAUCUGAAGUGUUCAGUCCCUUCUCUGCCUACAAAGCUGAUCAGUGAAACAGGCCAUGAUAAAAGCUGUGUGAGAAAGCUUCCUUCUGUACUAAUUGGAUGAAACUUGGAAACCAGAGGCUUUACUGGGAGCGCUGCCUAUUUUCCUCAUAAUUAUUUGCAUAUUCAGUUUAACAGCAAAACAAGUCUAUAAUUGUUCAGUUCAGAAAGGAAAAGCUUCUCACCGCAUAUGGCGGUCAGAAGAAACAUGUGCAGCUACUACAUCAACACUAAAUAGCGCUAAAUCAGCACUACCUGCACUAAUUUGGGAUGGAGAAGUGUAUCAAACAAUAACUUCAGAAGCAAAGGAUAUUAAGGGAAGGAAGCCAGCAAGAGCCAGCUUUAAUGCAUGCUUGUUAGCACAAGGAAGAACUUCUCUGCUGCUCGGCACGUAAAUUACAUUCACCAUCUAAUCACACCGCAACGAUCUGAGGUGGUUUAACAUUCAGGUAUGUUUUGUAAACAAUUUACAGUUGAUGCGUAACUCACAACAGCAUUGCCACUGCCUUUAAAUUUGAUCAUAAGGCUGAGGUGAGACCUAAAUGUGAGCCUCCCGCUUUGAUGUCUGACAUAAAUAAUGUACGCAGAGAUCCUCAAACGCUAUUUGGCUCCACUGCUGUGGAUUGAAUGUCACAGCUUCAUGCUGCUGUGAAGAAGUAACACCACCAAAAUAACUUGGUCUAGCUAUUUAACCUUGCAAAUAUAUACUAGGAAAUGAGACAAAGUCUGCAAAAAUAAAAGGGGGGGGAGGGAGGGGCAGGGAGGGGAAAGCAUUAAAAAAAAGGUUGAAAUUGAAUGUAGCCCUUGCAAUUCAAACUCAUAUUUUUUUCUCAUCCUUUUGUUCCAUCCAAACCCAUACAACUGUCUGAACCAGUAAUGGUUACCAUAACACCAUUACACUUCAGCACAUACAUUUAUAUCUCCUGGUCAUGUAUUUCUCCAAAAUAGGAUUAUUGAACCAGUUGGUAUGGAGUCAAACACUGGAGUACAUUCUCAAGCAAAUUCUCACAAAUGAGUUCUAAGUGUUACAUGAGUAAGGACUGACAAAACAUUCAAAAGCCACUCCGAAUCUGACUUUUCUCCUACUUUCCAGUGCAAAGGAAAGGAAAAGUAAUGUUUUAAACAUAAAGUAUGAAAUUUCAUAUUAUCUUUUUUUUUUUUCUUCCCAAAAGACAUCACUGCAGAUCAAUUUCAUCUGUCGUAACUUCUGCCUGCAAAUUCUCCUGACAAGAAUAAUCCCUUCCAUCAAAUUGAAUAAUAAGCUAAAG